GAAUUGUGGUUGCCCUCCAUUGAUGAAGCUCUUGUUGGCACCAUAAAUUGGUUUUGCUUCACAUUGUCUUGAUUAAGAGUGUGAAGUUUUUGAGAAUUUUGGUUGAACUCUUUUGAUGAAGCUCUUGUUGGCACCAUAAAUUGGUUUUGCUUCACACUGUCUAGAUCAAGAGUGUGUGAAGCUUUUGAGAAUUGUGGUUGCUCUCCAUUGAUGAAGCUCUUAUUGGCACCAUAAAUUGGUUUUGCUUCACACUGUCUUGAUCAAGAGUGUGUGAGGCUUUUGAGAAUUGUGGUUGCCGCCCAUUGAUGAAGUUCUUGUUAGCACCAUAAAUUGGUUUUGCUUCACACUGUCUUGAUCAAGAGUGUGUGAAGAUUUCUACGAGUUGUAGUGUUUGCAUUGUUACAGAGGAGAAAUGUCUGAAGCAGAUGCAAAAGGGCUGAAUAGCUUGAUCUUCGUAUGCCAUACACUGAAGUUGUUGUUGGUUUGCAAUAAGACUUUGUUGGUGACUAUAAUUCUUGUUGGGAAUAAGUGCUCCCCUAGUUGAGUUGUCAAGCUUGAGGGUUUUUUAUUAUUUGUGAAUGUUAUGAGUUCACAUGUACAAGUUGUACCACUCAUCUUCUGGUAGGUGGAAUGAAUGGUGAAUUGCUUUCAUCACUUGGUUGGUGGUACGAAGGUGAGUUCCUUCAUCACAUUUCAUCACCUAGUUGGUGGCACGAAGAUGAGUUCCUUCUUCACCUGGUUGGUGGCAUGAAUGGUAAGUUGCCAAAUGAUAUUAGAGUACGGGUUGUACAUUUCAUCACCUGGUUGGUGGUAUAAAGAUGAGUUCCUUAUUCACCUGGUUGGUGGCAUGAGUGGCAAGUUGCCAAAUGAUAUUAGAGUACAAGUUGUACAUUUCAUCACCUGGUUGGUGGCAUGAAGAAGAGUACGGGUUGUAGAUUUCAUCACCUGGUUGGUGGCAUGAAGAUGAGCUCAUUCUUCACAUUUCAUCACCUGGUUGGUGAGAAUCAAGGUAUAAAAUAUCGAUGAUAUCGGAAAUAUCGGUAGUCCAAAAACACGGAUAUAUUGAUGGAAAUAUCGGGAUAUUAUCGAUAUUGAUAAAAAUAAUAUGGAAACCACGGAAAUUGUAAGAAAAACUUAGAAAUUUUUAUUGAAACUUUGCAGGAUGUUUAUUUAGUUAAUUAUUUAUUAGUUUAUCAUAAAAAAUUGGAAGGAAAUGCAUUGCAUGAUGAAUUUAACUGAUUUAAGUUGAUUAUAUAGAGCUGGCAAACAUUGUGAGUGUAGAAAAUAUGUAGUAAUUAAUGAAAGAAGUUUAAACACAAUAAUCAUUUAUAUAUAAUGAAUUAGUAUAAUAGUUUACACUUUAUACAUUGCAUGGUAAGAUACAUGAAUUAGGACACAAUUGCCCAUAUGUAUUGGAUUAAUAAACAAUUUUAAUUUUUGUUGUUCACAUAGGAAAGUUAAGGAAGCAGACAAAUAAAUAAAAAAGAGAUUGGGCAGGUAAAAGAUGAGAAGAAGCAGAGUAAAAAAAAGUGGGAAUAUUCGUCAAAUGAGACACACAAACCCAUAGGCUUAUUCAUUUCACAAAAAUUCCGUCUUCCAAAACGCACAAAAAUAGGUCCCCCACUCCCCACCCUCCUCCUCCUCCCUCCGCAUUACCCACCCUCCCCACCCUCUAUAUC
rnacentral:lncRNA from 1 species